GUUUUUGCUGAGGACAACAAGGUAAUUCCCAAAAUUCUACUUCUAUUCAUAGUGCACACUGUUGACCGCAUACAAGGAUUUCAUGGACUAUAAUGACCUUGUUGUUUACAUGAGUAUAUUUAAUUAGAAUUGUGUGAAAUUGCAGAAAUUGUAUUUUUCAUUAGAGCUUACACAGAUUUCAUUUACUUUUUUUCAGUGUGAUGUCACUGCCACACCUAUCCAGAAUCACUUCCAACAAAAAAUUGACAGGGGCCCUCUUGACCAUGAUGGUGAAGAAAACAACUAUAAUGCACCAAAUUUCAUUGCCCGGUUGGCUAAAUACUUCCUGCCGCAUGCCACUCUGUGGUCUGGUCUGAUGCUAGGGGAUAUUGGCCGUCAUGGUACAGGCCCAGCAUACCAGCUUUUCAGCAAGAUCCACAAAGAAGUCAUUCAGUCCAAUAAACAGAACUUUACACAAGACAACCGGACACAGGGCAUUAUGGAAAAAAGUCAGUGGGACCUCAAGAGAAUAAGAUUCCAGAGAAGGCGACUCACACGACUUGAUGAUUUUGUGCAGACAUACCAAAAUACGCAUGAUGCACUGAUCAUUGAAUACCAAGACGGAGAAAUAACCAGAAAGAAAGUAAGGAGUAUUUUUUGUUUUUGUAAUUGUGCCAGAUCAUACAUUUCAUUUCAUUCAUUGAUCUUCAUCACAUGUGUGUAUAUUGUAUGUCCUUUAGUCUUUGAGUGGAAAUGGAGCAGUGGAAGAAGAAAAGUCAGGGGCGUAAAGGAGUAUACGUCUCCCCACUAGUGAAGAGUCUCCCAUUCAAAGACGUGAGAAGCAAAGUACUCUUUUAGGUUUUAAUAAUACCCAUUAUCUUAUAAAAAUGUAAAAAAAAUUGCUGAAUGUAU